GGCUCCUCCUCAGAUUCCAACAACAAGACGUGGCAGGACUUGCCAAUACUAUGGCAAGGAUCAUGGGGAUCGACCCUACUAUCGCCUCAACAAUACAUGUCGCAUAUGUGGGAGUACCCAGCAUUAUGUGAGGGAGUGCCCAAGGAAUUAGAACCAUACCAGACCUCCUAUCUAGAGUAGAGCUUACAACUUCACUCAGUAGGAUACAGAAGCCAACCCAUACAUGAUACAGAGUACGUACACUAUCUGUAAUUAUCUUGCAUAUUUUUUUAUUAAUA
rnacentral:lncRNA from 1 species